GGGAGGGUGCCGUGGCUGUUCCGUCCACUAGACGUGGGAGCCUCACGCCCAACUUAGACCACCUGUUGGACUUAUUUGAAGCAACCCUCUUAGGGCCCAAAGCAUCACCAAAAGCACUGAGGAACAUUAAGCAGAGGAAAGCUUAUGUCAAAUAGUUCCUCCUCUAUAUGUCAGGAGGGGGCACUGACAUAAAUAUGACCCUGUUGUUUUUAAACGACAUGGUAAAACUGAAUGGGUACCUCAAUCAACUCAGUUCCACACUGAAGCCCACGAGCCAGGAACAUGUCCUUAUAGACAUAGAGACCUUCCUGAAGUUCGU